rnacentral:lncRNA from 1 species
AGGAGGUUAAGAUCCUCCCUUCAGGAGUGAAGGACUCUGGAGUUCAGGGAGUUUACAUCCCGCCCAGCUCACCUCAAGCUACACAGCAGGAGACCUCAGUUGAAGGCUCCAUGAUCUCAAUGGAAAUGUAGCUUUCCAAGACGAAAUGAAAUCUAUGAAACGCCACCAGCGGCAGUCACAGCUGGCUCCAUCUUACGUACUAGCAGCCCACACGCACCCAGAGACAUCUGGAAGACGUCACAUCUACCUAACAUGUGGGCCCUCUAAUUAAAGGGAUUCACCACAUGGGCCAGGAAUCGAAGAGCUCCAGGUCUAUCUCAGCCACCAGAAAUCAGGAUAUCCCUGAAGCAAGCAUACUUUAUUAAAAAGAUAUAUUUAUUUUUAUUUUAUGC